rnacentral:rRNA from 1 species
GACGUUGGGAAAGCGAGCGGCGGAUGGGUGAGUAACACGCUGGGGAACCAGCCCCUAAGUCUGGGAUACCAUUUGGAAACAGGUGCUAAUACCGGAUAAUAAAGCAGAUCGCAUGAUCAGCUUUUGAAAGGCGGCGUAAGCUGUCGCUAAGGGAUGGCCCCGCGGUGCAUUAGCUAGUUGGUAAGGUAACGGCUUACCAAGGCGACGAUGCAUAGCCGAGUUGAGAGACUGAUCGGCCACAUUGGGACUGAGACACGGCCCAAACUCCUACGGGAGGCAGCAGUAGGGAAUCUUCCACAAUGGACGCAAGUCUGAUGGAGCAACGCCGCGUGAGUGAAGAAGGUUUUCGGAUCGUAAAGCUCUGUUGUUGGUGAAGAAGGAUAGAGGUAGUAACUGGCCUUUAUUUGACGGUAAUCAACCAGAAAGUCACGGCUAACUACGUGCCAGCAGCCGCGGUAAUACGUAGGUGGCAAGCGUUGUCCGGAUUUAUUGGGCGUAAAGCGAGCGCAGGCGGAAAAAUAAGUCUAAUGUGAAAGCCCUCGGCUUAACCGAGGAACUGCAUCGGAAACUGUUUUUCUUGAGUGCAGAAGAGGAGAGUGGAACUCCAUGUGUAGCGGUGGAAUGCGUAGAUAUAUGGAAGAACACCAGUGGCGAAGGCGGCUCUCUGGUCUGCAACUGACGCUGAGGCUCGAAAGCAUGGGUAGCGAACAGGAUUAGAUACCCUGGUAGUCCAUGCCGUAAACGAUGAGUGCUAAGUGUUGGGGAGGUUUCCGCCUCUCAGUGCUGCAGCUAACGCAUUUAAGCACUCCGCCCUGGGGAGUAC